CCCAAGAGAUCGGGAUAACACCUGGAAACAGAUGCUAAUACCGGAUAACAACAGAUGAUGCCUAUCAACUGUUUAAAAGAUGGUUCUGCUAUCACUCUUGGAUGGACCUGCGGUGCAUUAGCUAGUUGGUAGGGUAACGGCCUACCAAGGCGAUGAUGCAUAGCCGAGUUGAGAGACUGAUCGGCCNCAUUGGGACUGAGACACGGCCCAAACUCCUACGGGAGGCAGCAGCGA
rnacentral:rRNA from 1 species